rnacentral:rRNA from 1 species
GACGAACGCUGGCGGCGUGCUUAACACAUGCAAGUCGAACGGAAAGGCCCUGCUUUCGUGGGGUGCUCGAGUGGCGAAGGGGUGCGUAACACGUGAGUAACCUGCCCUUGACUUUGGGAUAACUUCAGGAAACUGGGGCUAAUACCGGAUAGGAGCCCCCGCUGCAGGGUGGGGGUUGGAAAGUUUCGGCGGGUGGGGAUGGACUCGCGGCUUAUCAGCUUGUUGGUGGGGUAGUGGCUUACCAAGGCUUUGACGGGUAGCCGGCCUGAGAGGGUGACCGGCCACAUUGGGACUGAGAUACGGCCCAGACUCCUACGGGAGGCAGCAGUGGGGAAUAUUGCACAAUGGGCGGAAGCCUGAUGCAGCAACGCCGCGUGCGGGAUGACGGCCUUCGGGUUGUAAACCGCUUUCGCCUGUGACGAAGCGUGAGUGACGGUAAUGGGUAAAGAAGCACCGGCUAACUACGUG